UGAACGAAAUCUCCCGCCACGAAUUGAAUGAUUUAUAAUUCACUUGUCUGUAAAACGUCACAUUCCUCCUUUUGAAAGAAAAUCCAACUAUAUGAUGAAUCCAUCGACAAAUUAACGAAAAUCAUCCAAUUCUGAGAUGACUUUCGUUGUACAUCCGUAUGACAUUAAGUAGAUAUUUGAACUAUGCUAACGCAAGUGAGAAACAUCUAACUUAUGACGGAUUUUAACUUCUACCAUGUUCCAAAUCAAAAAUCAUUCAAUUACCGUCCGAAACAACAUAUGGAAAGCUUACGAUCAUAGCUGUCAAAUUAUUGUUGUGAAUCGUAGUGUAAAUAUGGCGGCAGAAGCGUGGCGGAUCCGAAACUCCCGAUUAAAUAUAUCAGGCCGGAAAAAUCACUGAUAUCUACGGAAUCCUGAUAAAUGUGCGGCGGUUAGACGGAAUUAUCAUGGAGUUUCUGGAGUCAAACUCGUGCGCUCUAGAGAGGCAUCUGUUGCUGGCAAUAAUAAUUAUUAUGCUCAAUAUUUAUCCCUAAUAAAAGUCAUAUUGCGUGAAGUUAUCAACA